rnacentral:rRNA from 1 species
AAUUUUGGACAAUGGGGGAAACCCUGAUCCAGCCAUCCCUCGAGUAUGAAUGAUGCCUUCGGGUUGUAAAGUACUUUUGGCAGAGAAGAAAAGUAAUCGCCUAAUACGAGAUACGGCUGCCGGUUCACGCAGAAUAAGCACCGGCUACAUACGACCCGGCAGCCGCGGUAAUACGGAGGGUGCAUGCGUUAAUCCGAAUUACUGGGCGUAAAGCGUGUGUAGGCGGUUCGGAAAGAAAGAUGUGAAAGCCCAGGGCUCAUCCUUGGAACUGCAUUUUUAACUGCCGAGCUAGAGUAAGUCAGAGGGAGGUAGAAUUCCUCUUGUAGCAGGGAAAUGCGUGGAUAUGUGGAGGAAUACCGAUGGCGAAGGCGGCCCCCUGGGAUAAUACUGACGCUCAGACACGAAAGCGUGGGGAGCAAACA